CUCAUAUUGCUCCAUCUCACAUUGCUCCAUCCCACAUCGCUCCAACCAGCCCUUUCCCCCGCCCUCUUCAACCUCCGAGCUUUUUUUUUUUCUUUUCUUUCUUCUCCACUCGCUCUCCCUUUUCCCCCUUCCUCCCUCGCACUCACCCACCCACUCACCUUACUCACGCAUGGAGUCAUCUACCAAACCAACGGGCGACUCUGCUGCCCUCCACCACCUGGUUGACGUUGACUGAAGUCCGGAGCGCUUGUUUUGCGCUCCAAAUUCCGGGCGACCAGUAUCCACCCGUCCUCUGCACCCAGUAUUCUUCCCAUGGCUACACUCGUGCGUCAGUCACGCUGUGGUUUGAUCGGGCUCGCUCGUCCGGAGUGAAAAAGUGAAAAACCCUUGUUUGUUGUUCUUGUUUCAUUUUGUUUUUUCUAACUGCCUCCACCUCCACAAGGCUGCUUCUACCAACUCGCAUACUUUUGCUUUAACUUUUAUUGGCACAUGAUCUCGCGCGCGCACACACGCAGACACUCUCAGUCACGAUCGCACCACGGUGCUAGCAACUUACAAAACAACUAAACCGGCCCCUCCCCCGCCACCUUCAAGUUCCGGCUCAGGUUUUUGGCGUUUUUGUUUUGUUUUGUUUUUUGCUCCCCAUCUGUGCUGUGCUGUGCUGCGCUGUGCUGUUCUCCUCCCCCUUCACCCACCCCAAUCUGGCUCAGCGCUCAAAGCAGAGAUGUACCCUUGCGCAAACAAAAGCCACCACGACUGUGGCGUCCCAAAAAACAAAAAACAAAAAUCCCACACUCGCAACACCCCCCGUCCCCGGUCGCUUUCAAGUUCCGAGCCCAAGAAGGUGCAACAAAACCCCGCUCACCUUCAUCUUCCGAGUCGCUGCCAAGGGGGGCUGCUUGCUGCUUGCUGCUUGUUGCUUGUUGCUUGUUGCUUGCUGCUUGUUGCUUGUUGCUUGUUGAUCUAGAUGAUGUUGAAGAUGUUGCUGCUACUGCUGCUGCUACUGCGACAAACGCCUCUCAGUCCACCGUGCCCCCGCCUCCUUCAUCUUCCGGCCUCCAAAAUCAAAAACUCCUGCUAUCCCUAACCCCCAUCACCAUAAUGUCACCAUAAUGUCAUCACCCGUAUCAUCAUCGCAGGCAACUCCCAUCACCCUUCUUUGGCUCGACUUUGCUCCCUCUUCAACAAGUGCCCCCCUUCCCCCGCCUCCUUCACCUUCCGAGCCUGCUCCUUCAAAUCCCUCCCCUUGCUUCCCCCUUCGCUCCCACCGCCUCCUACACGCUCCCUAUCGUCCACCUAUGCGCUCUCACGCUCUCACCUCCCAACGCAAUACUCGCCCUCCCCCCUCAGCCUCUCACCUCAUGAGCGGAUUCCUUUCUCUCGCUAGAAACAAAAAAAUCAAAAAACAAAACAAAAACCCUCUCCCCCAAAGUCCUAUCUUCAAAGUCGGCCUUGAGCGAAAGGCUCCCGCUCCAACAAACUCCACCCCCACCUCCCAGCUGCCGCUCUUGUAUCCCCCCUCCCACCUUCGCUCGCAUGCACAGCCCAGUACCGCAUCCCCCCCCCCCAAAAAAAAACAUACAUGCCUGUGCCCUCGACAGCUCCCCUCCUCCCUUUCCAUCCUCCCCUCCUCCCCCCUCCUCCUAUUGCUCUCCUACUCCUCCAUCCCUCCAUAAUCUCUCACUCACUUUCAUUUUUACCACUCGCUCGGCAAUCGUUUCCUCCACUGAUGCCAGCGCAGACAGGUGAAAAGGGCAGCCGAACUGAACCAUUUGUUUUCAAAGUCCAUCGAGCCUGUCGGGUUGGCAAGAUCUGCGUCAGGGGCCCGCUAUAACUGUCGGCUUUUGCUAAAACCCUUAUUAGACACACUCGCUUACAUAUCCGCACUUCAAACGUACGUUCAGCGCAGCUGCCCAGGGAAGAGACAGGGACGAUUGUCGACUUUGUCGCAAAAACCCACCCAAACCACCCCCAAACCACCUCCCUGCCCCGUCCCCUUCGCCCACGCUUGUGCGGGUCUUGCUCAUACUCAUCUAUGCUACUUGGACAUACAUGAAAAGGCGCACUGGAAGAAGCGUGCAUUGACGCGAGCAGGACGUUGCACUCAGCCCCCCCGACCGACCUACCCCCCUCCCCCUCCCCCUUUUUGUUUUCCCCCCGUCCCCCCAACCUUACCCUCCUCUCAGUCACCCUCCAACAUCAUCACCACCCUCGACCGCAAUGUGGCGUGGUCGGUUUGGCCACCUGCGAAACCAUCCAUUUU
rnacentral:rRNA from 1 species